AUUGAACGCUGGCGGCAUGCUUUACACAUGCAAGUCGAACGGUAACAGGCCUUCGGGUGCUGACGAGUGGCGAACGGGUGAGUAAUGCAUCGGAACGUGCCCAGAGGUGGGGGAUAACGCAGCGAAAGCUGUGCUAAUACCGCAUGUGAUCUGAGGAUGAAAGCGGGGGACCAGGCAGCAAUGUUUGGCCUCGCGCCUUUGGAGCGGCCGAUGUCAGAUUAGGUAGUUGGUGGGGUAAAGGCCUACCAAGCCGACGAUCUGUAGCUGGUCUGAGAGGACGACCAGCCACACUGGGACUGAGACACGGCCCAGACUCCUACGGGAGGCAGCAGUGGGGAAUUUUGGACAAUGGGCGCAAGCCUGAUCCAGCAAUGCCGCGUGCGGGAAGAAGGCCUUCGGGUUGUAAACCGCUUUUGUAUGGAACGAAAAGGCUCUGGCUAAUACCUGGGGCUGAUGACGGUACCGUAAGAAUAAGCACCGGCUAACUACGUG
rnacentral:rRNA from 1 species